rnacentral:rRNA from 1 species
UGGGGAAUUUUGCCGCAAUGGGGGAAACCCUGACGCAGCAACGCCGCGUGCGGGACGAAGGCCCUCGGGUCGUAAACCGCUUUCAGCAGGGAAGACCACGACGGUACCUGCAGAAGAAGCUCCGGCUAACUACGUGCC